GUCCCUCAUCGGUGGUGGAAAGAAAAAUAGGAGAGUUUAAAUACUGAAUCACUCCUAUUAAUUGUUAAAAUGGUUGGAAAGAGGGACCCCCCUCGCGUUGUCGUCAUCGCUCGUCUCGGCUUCGACUUCUGCUUCGGCUUUGGCAAAUGAUCGAUCGAGAGAUUAUUUUUCAAAUUCGCGUGCGACCCAUUUUAUUUGAACUUUCCCAUUUUAUUUAAAUUUCCCGCCAUGACUAUUAUGAAAGGUUGCAACUUUCAGGAACAGUCCGUACCAUUUGAAAGGUUGCAAACUUUCAUUAAUGGUCGUGUGAAUUCUGAAAAGGUUGCAACCUUUCGGAAACUGUUCUUUUCUUCAUGUACUUUCCUGUUGUUGAUUGGUUCGCUUACACCAGGGUUUUGGUAUCUAUACCCUGGUGAUUGAGAUCAUUUUACCUUGGGAGGUCAUAUUCCAAAUCAAACAUCGGAUACUAGAGGGGAAUAAUUUCCUUAAGGGACACUAUGAGUUCAGUGGACUUGAUCUUUUUCCUAUUCAAAAUUUUCUGGUACGUGUUUUUAUAGAUUUUUAUUUAUUCAUUAUUUGAUUUCUGUUCAUCUUUUGUACUGAUUAUGAAAACUUUAAUUACUUCGUGUUUCUGCAAAGUUUUACCAGAAUUAGUAAUUCUGUACUUCAAACACAAAGUGGCAACAGGUAUUAGUUGUCAACGUUACUUUGAGGACCUUCAGAUUUCACUUUUCAAAAACUCGAGUUGAUUUGAUUAGUGUAAAACUGUAUAUAAUAGUAAUUUUUGCUUUCUUCUAUGUUUAGCUCGAGAAGAGGAUUUAAAGUUCUCUAUUUCAUGAUCAGUAAUCAAGGUGAGAUGUAACGGAAAAGGAGCAACAGGGAGAAUUACGUAGCAUGCAGGAGAUAAUAGAGCGUUUCAGAUGCAUACAAAGACAGAGUUCAAUCUUAAAACCAAGUUGGAGCACAAUAUCUGCAGCAUAUGCAACAAGUUUAAUGAAGAAGAUAGAGCGCUUUGAAACAUCGAAAAGGUUCAAUGAAACCUUACUCCAAAAGUUGCAUUGUUAUUUCAGCUCAGAGAGGAAUCGUUGCUUAUUCUAUUGUUAUGAAAAAAGAAGUACAUGUUCAAGCUGUUAUUUUUUUUGGAGUGUUAGCUUUCUUUUACGCUGAAUCCAAGCACAUCUUUUUCAAUGUUGUGAUUAUGCUUUUGAGUAUUGGGACUAGUGUUAACUGUUGUUUAGAAGUUUGUCCUCUUUCGUGCUUGGUCAUUUCAAUGGUUUGAUGCUGAUGCAGACACCAUUUGGAUAUACGAGAAAGGUUAUUCUAUUGAUCGGAGUUGGAGAUACACUUCUUGGGAUUGGCUUAAAGAGUGAAUUGGAAGUACUUCGAUCUAUGUUUUCCUUAUGUUCCAGUUCAAUAUAUGCUUGUCUGCAUUAACUUUUGUUCAAAUAUCUGAUGCAGUUCUUAGGAUCACCUCAUAGUCCAAGAGGAAGCUAGCCUGACAAGAAGACAUUUUACUUCCUCUCUUGAAAACAGUUGGCUAACAUGUACUCCCCUAGUAGCUCUAUUAAUGGGCAAAAAUAUGUAAGAGUUCAAAGGCAAAGCUUCGAUUUGGCAAACAGGCAAAAUUUUGGGAUGAGCUCUUUACCGAAGAAUUCAAAGGCAAAUGACACCAUCAAUGACGCUCAGGAUCGUGAAGCUAUGGUAGCUUUUCUAAAUUUGUACAUAAUACAAUUUUCAGUUUGAAGGGAGACUAAAUCUUGUUGAUUUGCUGAAGAAAUUUGUGUUUAGGAACUGUAUUUACGUGCGAAAGCACAACAACAAAAAAUUAUGUAUCUUCGGGAACAGAUUGCUCUUGCCAGUGUUUGGGUGUGCCAAUUUCCUUUGUCAUAAUCCAUCAUAUGAAUGAUAAUGAUGUCUAAGUCGGUGUGCCUAAGAAUUUACAGGAAGUUCCUUAUCUAGCAAUUGACAAACAUCUUUGUCAGCCUACUACAGGGCUCUAAGAUGCUGCAUCAUCAAACAAUGCAAUCAACCUAAUGAUGCUUCUUCUGAAUCGACGUGCCAUCUGAUUGGCCUAGCUACAAAUAUCAAAUAAAUUUGUCCCUAUUACAGAUCUUCCUGAUAGCGUAUUGUUGUUAUCCAAGUUGCCAUAGUUCCGCUAGGAAAAAGAAACAAUAGUUCAAUCUCCUUGCUUUUCCAUUGUUGAACACAUUCUCUCUGUUUUUUUUUAUGAUAACUUAAAUAUAUUGUUGUUGUUUUGAUAAUUCAUAUUUUUUUAAGAAAGACAAGAAAUUGGGUGUAUUGAUUGUUCUUGUGUUUUAUAUGAAUGAUGUUGUUUGAGUUAUGUAAUUCUUUUAUUUCUAUUUUUAAUUGGUUUUCUGAUUAAAAUAUGUUUAAGGUGAAUUUAUGGCUAACUUUAGUUUCCAUAAUGAUUUCCAUUGAAAUAGGCCCUGUUUAGCGGCAAUUAUUGUACUUCUAUGGGUAAUUACAAAUGCCGCAAAAUAAGCAAAUUGUACCGGUGAUAAGAAUUGUCACUAAAUAAAUGCCGCUAGAA